rnacentral:rRNA from 1 species
AUAAACGUUAAUGAUAUGCUUAACACAUGCAAGUUGAACGCAAAUUUUUUUAUUAAAUUUGAGUAGCGCACGGGUGAGUAAUAUAUAAAUAUUUAUCUUAAAGUUUGGUUUAAUUUUUUUAAAAAUACCAAAUAGUUUGUAUUUAUAAAUAUAAAUUAAAAAUAUAUUUAUUGCUUUAAGCUAAUAUUAUAUAGGAUUAGGUAGUUGGGGCGGUAACAGCGAACCAAGCCUUUGAUCCUUAGCUGAUCUAAAUGGAUGUACAGCCACAUUGGAACUGAGACAAGGUCCAAACUUUUGAGGCAGCAGUGAGGAAUAUUAGACAAUGAGCGAAAGCUUGAUCUAGCAAUAUCACAGGAGUGAAAGAAGGAAAUUAUCUGUAAAGCUCUUUCGUUAAGGAUGAUUAUGACAUUACUUAAAAAAGAAGCCCCGGCUAACUUCGU